UUCAAAUGGGUUCCCCCUUCCCUGAUUGUCAACAACCCUUCCAAGCCAAGUAUUUUGUACUUGGUGGUGCUGCCGCUGCUGCUGCUAUUGGUGCUACUGCUGAUUAUUGGUGGUCGAUGUCUAUGGAAAUUUCAUAUGGUUUAAUUCCUGAGGUUCUCAAUAUUAACAGGGUAAUAUUAUUCCAUUUUUUUUGAGGAGAAGGAGAUCAUAGAUUAUAUGCAAUCAUCACUUUGGUGAGUAAAAUUUUUAGUGGGCAUUUUAUAUGACAAGCCAGUUGUGGCUCACUCAGUUUGUCUGAAAAGUGGUGCAGGUAAACCAUAUAUCUACAAGUAUUGAUCUUUUGACUCAUUCUAAUUAUUGGCAUUAAGAUCAUGUCUCACAAGUAGAGGAAUGUGUAUCUGUGAUGAAACAGGUAACCAAACUCAGCCAUGUAUCUAUUUCCAAAGGCUAUGUCCCCUAUCAGUGAAAGUAAAACUAGAAAUCCUCAUCCCAUGUAUGCUACUAUGUUUUAUACGACUAAACCCAUUUACCAAUUUGCAUACUUUUCUUUUUAUGGUAAACAGAAAUACAGUUUGAUCUCAAUAUAUUUGUUAUUCUACUAUUUUUCUGUCUUAAUUUCAUGGUUUCUUCUAAUUGGUAUUUAUACCUUUCUCAAGACUACCCAGCCGCUUCUAUCUUAAUUGGAAUAUGUACCAUUCUUAUUUGUUAUAGUAAUAUUCUUAAAUUUGUAUUUGAUUUUCGCUUGGAUUCCCUUGAAACUCACAGUACAAUGGUUUGGGAUGAUGGAGAUGGCUGACAUCUAUACUAAAUCGACACUCGGAAUUAAGCGUUGAAGGACUAAGUUACCAGUAGGGAAAACUGAAAAUGCAACAAACCACUACCAGAUAUGCUCAAACAUCGUAAAAUUAUAAUGUUGUCUUAUUUUAUCUCUUAUGGUUGCAAAACUUGAUUGUAUGACAUCCCUGCUAUGAGUGAUGGCGAGACUGUUAAUGUUGAUAUCUUUACCAUUUGAGAUCACUUUCUUUGCUCAAAAGAGGCAACAUUAAUUGUAUUGCCAGCAAUCAUAUUAGAAAUGUUGUGUAAGAUGAGGUAUUAUGGGCAAACAACAACCAGUGGGAUGUGCAGGCUCCCCAUCGUAUCAUCAUCCAGCAUGGGAAAUUGAAAAGCAGCA